UUAAGUUCAGCGAGUACUCUUACCUGAUUUGAGGUCAUUACAUGAUAAAUUAUAAACGCGAAAUCAUAAGAAUGACCACAUCUAAUACUCGAUAUUACAAACGCGUGUAAAAAAAUUUAAACACGUUGAAAAAUCACAUAAAAUUUUAGGUCACUUAACCGAAAGGCAAAGACAACCCAAUUCCGAAGCGUCACCACGAAAGGCAGCAACAACCCCGAUUUUUAUUUAACUGACCCUCAAACAGGCAUACUCUACGGAAUACCGGAGAGUGCAAUUUGCGUU
rnacentral:misc_RNA from 1 species